CGUUGGGACCUGCAAAAGAAGUCUAAAUCGGAGGUGGGGUUGCUCCGGCAAGACCCUCCGACGCUCAAGUCAGUUCUCUGGCUCAACAAGAAUGGAGUGUUCGAACGAAAAUUUUAGCAGAGUUUCUAGGCAAAAAUGAGAGCUUAGAGAAUAACGUAUCUGGGGUCCCCCUUUUAUAGGCGGAGGGAGCAACAGACUGACAGCAACGUUUGUAACCAUCCGGUAGUGGGCUGCUCAUGGUCAGG
rnacentral:lncRNA from 1 species